UCGUUGCAUUCUCAUGGCAAUGGAUCCAGGCCAGAAAUUACGUGUGGCCAUGCGCACUCCUCAGCUCGCUGCCGACUUGGCACCUUAUUGCCAUUUAAAUCUGACAGACCUCGCGAUGCUGAUAGUCACAACACCAAGGCCAAGCCUCAAGGCAAACACCUUCUCCACUCGCCACGGCCAUGGACGCCGACGCCGACACGGUGGUGUUCGAGGCACCGGCGCACUUCCGCUUCUACAAGAGCGGCAGGAUAGAGCGCCUUAACCGGCCUCCCAUCCUCCCCGCCGGAGUCGACGAGGCCACCGGCGUCACCUCCAAGGACGUCGUCCUCGACGCGGACUCCGGCCUCUCCGUGCGCCUCUACCUUCCCAAGCUCCAGGAACCCUCCACGAAGCUCCCGGUCCUCGUCUACUUCCACGGCGGCUCCUUCCUCAUCGAGUCGGCCGACUCCUCCACGUACCACAACUACGUCAACGCCCUCGCCGCGGCGGCCGGCGUCCUCGCGGUGUCCGUCGACUACCGCCUGGCCCCGGAGCACCCGCUCCCCGCGGCCUACGACGACUCCUGGGCCGCGCUCCAGUGGGCGGCGUCGGCGCAGGACGAGUGGAUCCGCGAGCACGGCGACACGGCCCGCCUGUUCCUCGCCGGCGACAGCGCGGGGGCCAACAUCGUGCACGACAUGCUCAUGAGGGCGACCUCCAACGACGGCAGCCCGAGGGUCGAGGGCGCGAUACUGCUGCACCCGUGGUUCGGCGGGAGCAAGCCGGUGGAGGGGGAGCACCCGGCCGCGCCCAUGGUCACCGGGAUGCUCUGGUCCUACGCGUGCCCGGGCGCGGUGGGCGGCGCGGACGACCCGAGGAUGAACCCGCUGGCACCGGGCGCGCCGGCGCUGGAGAGGCUCGGGUGCGUGAGGAUGCUCGUGACCGCGGGGCUGGCGGACGGGCUCGCCGCGCGCGACCGCGCGUACCACGACGCCGUGGCCGGCAGCGCGUGGGGCGGCACCGCGGCCUGGCACGGGUCCGAUGGGGAGGGCCACGUGUUCUUCCUCGAGAAGCCCGGGUGCGACAACGCCAAGCAGCUCAUGGACCGCGUCGUCGCGUUCAUAGCCGGCGCCUGACAGAGUUGGUCUGCAGAUCAUCUCCAUUGUGUUCGAGGGAAGUUGCUCUGCAUGAGUGAAUAAAUAGGUGAUGGCGCCUAGUUGGGGUUUAAGUUUGUGAGAACGGAGAGAGGGUUUUGGU
rnacentral:rRNA from 1 species